CUUCAAGCACCAGCGACUGGAUGUCAUUGUCUGUAAUCCGUUUUAUGUGGCCGUUCCUGACCUAUAGCACAAGCAACAUUUUGAAAUGGCCCAAGUACCAGAUGAAUCUCCACAUUGCUGCCUCCCGAGCCACCGCAUUUCUCAGUACCAUCCACACACUGCUUAAAUUCUCCAGCAAAGAGGCCCAGCUCAUACUAAACAAGGGCGGCUGCAUUCCACUGCUCCUAGCUGUCGAAGCCGGCAUGUUGGAAUCGUUAAGGAGCUCCUUAGAACUCUAGCCGAGCCUCGGCUUAGGGCUCAGAAAACAGGAAGAGCCAACUAAGAUGUCUGGGGUUGCAUGGGCCUAGCAAAGUGUUUGAUUUAUGAAUAAACAGCUAUACUGUAGCAUUAUUAAUAAUACUACCUUAUGUUAUUGAUACAUAAUAAAGUAUGAGUUAGGGUUUUAAAAUAACUUAGUAGCUCUGGAUAGGAAAUCCGUGUAGUUACUAGUCAAUUAAUGGACAGUUAAGUAAAUCAAAAAUGGUUGACAAUUAAUUUGAUAUUAAAGAUGCACUCCAGGAACUUAAGCACAACAUUAGUAACAUACAGUAUGAAUUGGAUUCAUAACAUAUCAUACAAAUUGCACAAUUUUUUUUAUAAAAACAUAGGACGUAACAUAUCAUACGAAAUGGAUAAUGUAGUAAACAAUUUCAUCACAUACUACACAAAAAAACAGAGACCACUUAUGGCUCUUGAGCUCCACUUUCAAAACUACUGACUGAAAUUAUACAGUCAACAAAUAGGUGUACGAUGGGUACACCCAAUCAACUAUAGUACUAUGUCACAUAACACCAGUCUAGUAUGUACUGUAUAACAUUAUGUCACAUAACACCAGUCCAGAAUGUAUAACAUUAUAUCACAUAACACCAGUCUAGAAUGUAUAACAGUAUGUCACAAAACACCAGUCUAGUACCUGUAACAUGUCACAUAACACCAGUCUAGUAUCUAUAACAUGUCACAUAACACCAGUCUAGUAUCUAUAACAUGUCACAUAACACCAGUCUAAUAUAUAUAACAUGUCACAUAACACCAGUCUAGACUCUAUAACAUUAUGUCAACUAAACACC